UACUCCUCGCCUCCAUUACGAGCCCCGCCGCCACCUCCCAAAAUCCCGAGCGCUUCCGACUCCGAGAUCUGAGAGCUCCGCCACCGCCACCUCCCAAAAUCCCGAGCGCUUCCGACUCCGAGAUCUGAGAGCUCCGCCACCGCCACCGCCGCCGCCGUCCCCGUCCCCAUCCCCACACCCGGAUAUGCUGCGUGUCGUUUCGAAGUCCCUCUCCACGGUCGCCCGCGCUGGGCCGGCGACCUCUGACUCCCUCCUCAGCGGCCAUCGUGCUGCUGCCGGCGAGAUCCUCCCGGGGCCGGUUCCCACCUACGGCCUGCUCACUCCUCGCCGCGGGAUGGCCACGGGGCGGAUCGAACAAAUGAUGUAAGCCCAAAAUCCUUAACCCUGGCACUCGAGUUUCGGAUCUGGUUAGGGCAUCUACAACGCGAGUCGAUUAGCGCUUAGAGCGUCAAAUCCUGACGCUUGGGAUGACAUCGGGGCGUCAAAUCCCUACUGUGUAUGAUGAUACUGCCUUCACCUUCCACUCGGGCACUGGGCUUGUGGUUCAGAACCACCUCAACCAUGUCUCUGUCUCCGAGGCGUUGCUUGAUAAAGACAAUUGGCUGAUAUCUAAGAAGACUGGCGAGUAUGCCUUCGCAAAGCUGGACGACUGGAACACCGCCCCACUGACCCCAGAGCGAGAGCUAGGCGACUUCAGAGCAUUGCACUCAAGGUUUGUGAACAUCCUGCGGCAAACAAAUGGCAGGGACUAUGAGGACAUGUUGCCGCCCGACCUCAAGGACUUCCUGGAGAAGCUGAUCGCUGAUGACCUCAAGGUCCAGCACAUCGUUUGCCAUUCCUUCUUCUUACCGUGCCUCUCCAAGUUCCUUCUAAGGGUACUUCUUGAUGUGAAACUGAAGCGGCCACUGCUAACCGCUGACUGCCAGAAGCGAAACGACAUCAAGAAGAUGUUUGUCGAGAUGCCCUAUGUCGAUGUGGAAGGCAAUGUGCUCCGGAAGAUUGUGGAGAACAACGUCUUCCUCCGUUCCUGGCAGAAGCGUAUUGAUGAAGACAAGGCCAGAUGGAGCCUGGAGGAGCCAGAGAAGACCGAGAGAGCAAUGGGCUUUGAUGAAGAAAAGGCCGGAUGGAGCUUUAUGGAGCCAGAGAAGAUGACGCUGAGCAUUGAUCAGGAAGGGGCAAGAUGGGGCUUGAUCGAGCAACAGAGGACUGGGAGACCACUGGACCCACUGGACCCUAGAGUUCAGAUUGCCAGCAAGCUUAUUGCUGUGCUGAGGGCUGGCUGCCUUCAUUAUCAUAAGCCAAACCUUCCCAAGGAAUUUGAGGGACUGCUGCAGGGGAUAACCAUCGACAAAGUCAUACGUAUGAUGAACAUUGAGUUCCCAAAGUUUGAGCAGAGGACGCUCGAACUGUUGGCCGAGCACGGCCUCUGGGAUCAUCUUGAGAUCGUCAAACUAUUUGGCAAGUAUGCCGCGAGGCUCCAGGAGGUAAUUGAGAGGGACAAGGUCCGCCCAGCGGAGAAGGCUGCAAAGUCGGCGAAGGCACGCCAGUAGCUCCUCCUGCGCCUCCACAUGGUAGGCAAAUAUCCCUAUCCCUGCCCUUUCCCCCGGACACAUGCAAGAACUAACUAUUAUUUGAUUAAUCAAGAUUUUUUUUACCUGUGAUUGCUUGCUGAAUUGGACUGCUUACCGACUUUGCUUCUUUCCGUACUUAAUUGCAGUGGUAUACUAUGUGGAGCGAGCAAGCCAUGAACUUCCAUGAAGCUGGAGUUUAUCUGGUGAUGUCUAUGAAGCUGGAGUUUGGCUGUUUGUCUUGACCGAGGAUCAAGCCAUGAUCUUCCAGCAGCCCAGAAAUUGUUGUUGUGUGCGGGCUAUCUUGUCAGUUUCAGUAAUUCGUAAAAAAACCGAUUGCUUUUGUGCAAUUCAUGAUUUUGUGGUCUCUGGCACUUAAAAGUCAAAUUUGUCUGUAUAACAUUCAAUCGUCGCCAAGAUUCUGCUUCAUCAAAUUUUGCAUGUACAGUCUUAUAGUUGCUUGUUGCUUGUGUGCGAGGUCCAUGUUGCAUCUUUAUACAAGAUGC
rnacentral:lncRNA from 1 species